UUGAUUUGUGGAUGGGCAGGUUCAGGGCAUAUGUGCAAAUUGAAGCUGGAUAACAGUGCACAGUGUUGCUUGGUAACAGUGGAGAAUCUUCCUGAAGGAUAAAUGGAGAACCUGGCCAUCUAUUCUAUAUGAAAGGCGCCCGAGGGCAGAACACAUCCGGAUUUCCGGACGUUUGCUAAUGGCUAGUCAGCAGCAUGGAAGGAAAAGCCUUGAAAAUCAGAGAUUCUUCAUCAAUACAAGUAUUUCCAUCACCUGGAUGAUGAUACUGAGAUCAGAAGGUAGAACAGAAAAUGAAAUUCUCCAGCUCCACAGAAACAAGCUGGCCCCACAGCAGAAACUUUUCUUCACUGAAAGUAGAAAUGUCAGCUGAACACCCUGAGCUAAAAGUUUCCUUAGAACCAGAUUUGAAACCAAGAAGCAACUCCAGUCUCUGAUGACUCAAUGAAGUUGUGGGAAAAAUUAAGAUGCUUUUCAAGAUAAUAGGUGUUGCAGUUGAACUGGUCACAUAUUAGAGAUUACAAACUUUGUCAUCAGUAGGAUUAAAAAAAAAACUGAUUCCAAAAAAUAAAAUAAAAUAAAAAGUAAAAUUAUGUGUUGUGAUAUAUACAAAAAAGUAAAAAACGCCAAGAGCCCUAUUUGCAAUUAAAAAAGAAACGGUUUUGUUGUAAGAAGGGUAAUCGACAUCAUUCAGAAGAAAUGCAUUUGUUCAAGGAUCAGUGUUGCAUAGAAUAAUUCCAGUACAAUUUAGGAUUCUGGUCAGCUGCAAACUUGGCACACUUUGGC